rnacentral:sRNA from 2 species
GGACAGUCAUCGCCGAGUCCCCGUACGGCGCGAGCCAGGGGAGCCGGGGACCCACUCAGUCCCUGGGGUGAAUCGGGCACCGUGCGCCGAGCACGGCACCCGUAGGAGACCUUCCUGCUCCGAACCCGUCAGCUAACCCGGUAGGCGAGAGGGAAGGAAAGG